rnacentral:rRNA from 1 species
UAAAGCUCUCUUCGGAGAGUGUAUAGAGUGGCGCACGGGUGAGUAACACGUAAGUAAUCUACCUUUGAGUGGGGAAUAACAGUCGGAAACGACUGCUAAUACCGCAUAAUGCAGCGGCAUCGCAAGAUGACAGUUGUUAAAGAUUUAUCGCUUGAAGAGGAGCUUGCGGCAGAUUAGCUAGUUGGUAAGGUAAUGGCUUACCAAGGCUACGAUCUGUAACCGGUCUAAGAGGACGGUCGGUCACACUGACACUGAAUAACGGGUCAGACUCCUACGGGAGGCAGCAGUCGGGAAUUUUGGGCAAUGGGCGAAAGCCUGACCCAGCAACGCCGCGUGAAGGAUGAAGUAUUUCGGUAUGUAAACUUCGAAAGAAUGGGAAGAAUAAAUGACGGUACCAUUUAUAAGGUCCGGCUAACUACGUGCCAGCAGCCGCGGUAAUACGUAGGGACCAAGCGUUGUUCGGAUUUACUGGGCGUAAAGGGCGCGUAGGCGGCUUGACAAGUCACUUGUGAAAUCUCCGGGCUUAACUCGGAACGGCCAAGUGAAACUGUCAUGCUAGAGUGCAGAAGGGGCAAUCGGAAUUCUUGGUGUAGCGGUGAAAUGCGUAGAUAUCAAGAGGAACACCUGAGGUGAAGACGGGUUGCUGGGCUGACACUGACGCUGAGGCGCGAAAGCCAGGGGAGCAAACGGGAUUAGAUACCCCGGUAGUCCUGGCCCUAAACGAUGAAUACUUGGUGUCU